rnacentral:rRNA from 1 species
AGUGAACGCUGGCGGUAGGCCUAACACAUGCAAGUCGAACGGCAGCACAGUAAGAGCUUGCUCUUACGGGUGGCGAGUGGAGUACGGGUUGGGAAUACAUCGGAAUCUACUUUUUCGUGGUGGGUAACGUAGGGCAACUUACGCUAAUACCGCAUACUACCUACGGGUGAAAGCAGGGGAUCUUCGGACCUUGCGCGUUUGCAUGGGCCGAUGCCGUAUUAGCUGGUUGGUGGGGUACCGGGCCACCAAGGCGACGAUGCGUAGCUGGUCUGAGAGGAUGAUCAGCCACACUGGAAGGGGAACAGGGACCAGACGACUACGGGAGGCAGCAGUGGGGAAUAUUAGACAAUGGGGGCAAGCAUGAUCCAGCCAGACCGCGUGGGUGAAGGAGGCCUUCGGGUAGUAAAGCCCUUUUGUGGGGAAAGAAAAGCAGCAGGUUGGGACCCAGCGGUUGUGACGGUACCAAAAGAAUAAGCACCGGCUAACUUCGUG